AGGGAAUUUUCGGCAAUGGGCGAAAGCCUGACCGAGCAACGCCGUGUGAAGGAAGAAGUCAUUCGUGAUGUAAACUUCUGUUAUAAAGGAAGAACGGCGCCUGUAGGGAAUGACAGGCGAGUGACGGUACUUUAUGAGGAAGCCACGGCUAACUACGUGCCAGCAGCCGCGGUAAUACGUAGGUGGCGAGCGUUAUCCGGAAUCAUUGGGCGUAAAGAGGGAGCAGGCGGCAGCGCAGGUCUGCGGUGAAAGCCCGAAGCUAAACUUCGGUAAGCCGUGGAAACCGCACAGCUAGAGAGCAUCAGAGGAUCGCGGAAUUCCAUGUGUAGCGGUGAAAUGCGUAGAUAUAUGGAGGAACACCAGUGGCGAAGGCGGCGGUCUGGGGUGCAGCUGACGCUCAGUCCCGAAAGCGUGGGGAGCAAAUAGGAUUAGAUACCCUAGUAGUCCACGCCGUAAACGAUGAGUGCUAAGUGUUGGGGGUCAGACCUCAGUGCUGCAGUUAACGCAAUAAGCACUCCGCCUGAGUAGUACGUUCGCAAGAAUGAAACUCAAAGGAAUUGACGGGGGCCCGCACAAGCGGUGGAGCAUGUGGUUUAAUUCGAAGCAACGCGAAGAACCUUACCAGGUCUUGACAUGGAGAUAAAGGCUCUGGAGACAGAGAGAUAGUUAUAUCUCACACAGGUGGUGCAUGGUUGUCGUCAGCUCGUGUCGUGAGAUGUUGGGUUAAGUCCCGCAACGAGCGCAACCCCUGUUGCCAGUUGCCAGCAUUAGGUUGGGGACUCUGGCGAGACUGCCUCUGCAAGGAGGAGGAAGGCGGGGAUGACGUCAAAUCAUCAUGCCCCUUAUGACCUGGGCUACACACGUGCUACAAUGGACGGAUCAGAGGGAGGCGAAGCCGCGAGGUGGAGCGAAACCCAGAAACCCGUUCACAGUUCGGACUGCAGUCUGCAACUCGACUGCACGAAGCUGGAAUCGCUAGUAAUCGCGAAUCAGCAUGUCGCGGUGAAUACGUUCUCG
rnacentral:rRNA from 1 species